CGGAAUAUAGCAUAAUGGUAAUGUAUCUGAUUUGGGAUUAGAUGAUUAUAGGUUCGAGUCCUAUUAUUCCGA
rnacentral:tRNA from 1 species